ACCUGUCUAGACUUCGACUGAAGAGAUAUAGUCCUAACAUGGUUUCGCAUGCUAGGCUUGGUAGUAGUUUCUACUUCUCCUUAGUACUUCCAGAAGCUGUUAAGCUGACUUCAGUGCUUAAUCAUCUGAAAUUCUGAAUCCUGAUACAUAUACUGGUUAUCUUCUCCUUAGUACUUCCAGAAGCUGUUAAGCUGACUUCAGUACUUAAUCAUCUAAAAUUCUGAAUCCUGAUACAUAUACUGGUUAUAAUGGACGAAUAAGAAUUAUCAGUCCUACUUUUGAUAUCUAUAAAAAAUCACACAAUAAUGCUUCCGUGGUCAGGUCUUCCUUCUCCCACAGGGCACAGGGAAGGUGACUGGAACCGACACAUUGCAAGCUGGAGCUGAAAACCCUAUAAAGAAGCUUCAUAUCUACAAAGAGAACCAACCAACUGACCCCCUAUACAAGUCCCUGCUUUGUUCAGAACCCCUUUUCUUCUCUCCUUGUAUAUCAGAGAUACUUUUGCAAGGAGACAUAUAGCAAGCAAGAUGUAUAAUCCUCCGAGCGCGCAGGAUAUGUCCUACUACGAUCAUGUUCAGAAGCGCCAUGAGGAGAAAGGCUGCCUAUAUGCAUGAAUACUCCGCACAUGUGUUUGGAAAGCUUGUUAAGUUUCGAAGGAGAACCCCUGUAUGGCUUGAGGAUUCAGGACAGAUGAGUAAACAUGAACUGGGAAGACAUCCCUUAAAAAGAACCUGGGAUGGAAGGGAACAUGCAGUUCCGUUAACAAAAGCCCUUCAAAUAUUCUUUCUGAGGGAACAAAUUAGCUCAAUUCAUCAAAUUCUCUUUAUGUGAUUCUCAGAAGAAAUAAUCUCUUAACGUCUCUAAUUCGGUGCUAUGCUUCUCUUCGACCAUUACAUGCUAUACCUUUCCUCUUCAAAAUCUUUCUUUCGACUAGUUGAUUCAUCCUUCUUGUGAGCAUCUGAACAUUAUCAAGAUGUCAGAACAGAGAAGGGUCCAUCAGCUAUCAUUAUCGAGGUCCCUAUUGGGCUACAAAUCGAUGAUAGAGAGAUCCACCGCGCAAGGUCGCAUCAAAUGGAAAAUGGCAUUGUCUGGGCAAUUUGGUGGUUGCCGGUCAUUUUCAUGUGGCGUUGCCUACACCUAGAGGCAAUAUUGUUUUUCACGUUGUUCUAUUGAGACCAUUAACCUCUAAAAUCCAAGAUGAAAGCGGUUGUUGAAUAUUUCAGUAGAGAUAAAGCUGUAAAUCUCUACUCGGGUCAUGAGAUAAGUUAGUUGGUAAUUGAUUUCAUGUUAAUUUCAGUUAAUAAUAAUAAUAAUUUUUAAUCACUUUCACAAUGAGAGCUUCUUCUUGUGCAGCCUGUUCACUCUGUGCUGCUGCUUCUGCUGCUACGAGACCUGCGAGUGCUGCAUCGAGACCCUCUGCUGCUGCUGAUAGGCAAGCUCGACGACA